AGAAGUACUACUCUCCUAGUACUUUUUUAAAGAGAGUCUAAUUUCACAUCUAUGUUUGAGAGGUGGCCGUUCUCUGUCUGAUGACCUCUAUUUGAAUGGCUGUCCAUUCCAAAUCUGGGUUAAAAAUAAAGGAAAGCAGGGGCCCAGGAACUGCCCAUCAGCAGCCAGCCCCUUGGCAGAAGACUGAGCACAAGCACACAGGCCCUGGUUCUCUCCACUACAGUGAGAUGUAUAGUAUUCCUCUAUAAAAAGUAUAGGGUGAUAUCUAACAUUAGUCAUACUCAAGAGUAAAAUCAUGCAUCCUGCUAAUUCAUACUCAGACUCACCAAAACCAAUGGGUCUACCUUGUAUUACUCAGUAGGGCAGUAAUCAUUUUUACAUGUCUAUCUAUAUACAGCAUUUGCAAAUUAGUCUCCUCUUUCUUUCUUUUUAAGCCAUGUGUCAGUGGCCAUUAUAAGCCAAGAGGCCAAUUUCUGCAAUUCAAAGAAUCUAGCUGGAGGCUGAAGGGCAACAAAGUUUAGUGAGCAGGAAGAACUUGUGGAAGGAAGCAGUUCAGACUCCAAGGCUGAAGCAGAGGAGGGGCGUCAAGAGACUGCUGAAGAAUCCAGGGAGUCUCCCUCUCCUCCUGAGACAAGCUCCCCUCCAGCCUUGUCUCCAAGAACGCACAGAAUAAUGAGGAGAGUGGAACAGAGGCCAGAGAUGCUCAGAUGCUGUUUGAGACUGGUUGGGAGAGGAGGAGCCUCAGAAGGCAGGGACCUCAGUCCUGACAACUGCUCCACAGGGCCAAGACCUACUGGGAAGUGUCACUGAAUUGUUUGUUCAUUUCCUUGAAUAAAAAGUCGACUGAG